UUUGCCAAGAAUGUUCCCGUUAAUCAAGAACGAAAGUUAGAGGUUCGAAGGCGAUCAGAUACCGCCCUAGUUCUAACCAUAAACGAUGCCAGCCAGCGAUCCGCCGAAGUUCCUCCGAUGACUCGGCGGGCAGCUUCCGGGAAACCAAAGCUUUUGGGUUCCGGGGGAAGUAUGGUUGCAAAGCUGAAACUUAAAGGAAUUGACGGAAGGGCACCACCAGGAGUGGAGCCUGCGGCUUAAUUUGACUCAACACGGGAAACCUCACCAGGCCCGGACACCGGAAGGAUUGACAGAUUGAGAGCUCUUUCUUGAUUCGGUGGGUGGUGGUGCAUGGCCGUUCUUAGUUGGUGGAGCGAUUUGUCUGGUUAAUUCCGGUAACGAACGAGACUCUAGCCUGCUAAAUAGACGAUUUCCGGUAUCCACAAUAGUGCUACCGGCGAAAUCAAUAUCUUCUUAGAGGGACAGGCGGCUUUCAGCCGCACGAAACUGAGCAAUAACAGGUCUGUGAUGCCCUUAGAUGUCCUGGGCCGCACGCGCGCUACACUGAAGGAAUCAGCGUGUAUACCCUGGCCGAAAGGCUCGGGCAACCCGUUGAACCUCCUUCGUGCUAGGGAUUGGGGCUUGCAAUKGUUCCCCAUGAACSAGGAAUUCCCAGUAAGCGCGAGUCAUAAGCUCGCGUUGAUUACGUCCCUGCCCUUUGUACACACCGCCCGUCGCUACUACCGAUUGAAUGAUUUARUGAGGUSUUSGRAMWGGUGCGCGGCGGCCGCAU
rnacentral:rRNA from 1 species